rnacentral:rRNA from 1 species
GACAUAGGGCGCGAGCGUUGUCCGGAUUUAUUGGGCGUAAAGAGCUCGUAGGCGGUUUGUCGCGUCGGCCGUGAAAACUUGGGGCUUAACUCCAAGCUGCUGGUCGGAUACGGGCAGACGUUGAGUUCGGCAGGGGAGACGUGGAAUUCCGAUGGUGUAGCGGUGGAAUGCGCAGAUAUCAGGAGGAACACCGGUGGCGAAGGCGGGUCUCUGGGCAGUAACUGACGCUGAGGAGCGAAAGCGUGGGGAGCGAACAGG